GGAAAGGUGGCCGAGUGGUUUAAGGCAACGGUCUUGAAAACCGUCGUGGGGCUCGUCCUCACCGUGAGUUCGAAUCUCACCCUUUCCG
rnacentral:tRNA from 1 species